rnacentral:rRNA from 1 species
CGUACACUCCUGCGGGAGGCAGCAGUGGGGAAUAUUGGACAAUGGGCGCAAGCCUGAUCCAGCCAUGCCGCGUGAGUGAUGAAGGCCCUAGGGUUGUAAAGCUCUUUCACCGGUGAAGAUAAUGACGGUAACCGGAGAAGAAGCCCCGGCUAACUUCGUGCCAGCAGCCGCGGUAAUACGAAGGGGGCUAGCGUUGUUCGGAUUUACUGGGCGUAAAGCGCACGUAGGCGGACUAUUAAGUCAGGGGUGAAAUCCCGGGGCUCAACCCCGGAACUGCCUUUGAUACUGGUAGUCUUGAGUUCGAGAGAGGUGAGUGGAAUUCCGAGUGUAGAGGUGAAAUUCGUAGAUAUUCGGAGGAACACCAGUGGCGAAGGCGGCUCACUGGCUCGAUACUGACGCUGAGGUGCGAAAGCGUGGGGAGCAAACAGGAUUAGAUACCCCUGUAGUCCCAUG